rnacentral:misc_RNA from 1 species
GAUGAAGAACGCAGCAAAAUGCGAUAAGUAAUGUGAAUUGCAGAAUUCAGUGAAUCAUCGAAUCUUUGAACGCACAUUGCGCCCGCCAGAAUACUGGCGGGCAUGCCUGUUCGAGCGUCAUUUCAACCCUCAAGCACAGCUUGGUGUUGGGACUCGCGUUAAUUCGCGUUCCUCAAAUUGAUUGGCGGUCACGUCGAGCUUCCAUAGCGUAGUAGUAAAACCCUCGUUACUGGUAAUCGUCGCGGCCACGCCGUUAAACCCCACCUUCUGAAUGUUGACCUCGGAUCAGGUAGGAAUACCCGCUGAACUUAAGCAUAUCAAUAAGCGGAGGA